rnacentral:misc_RNA from 1 species
CAACAAAACAAAAAAUCAACAAAAAUACCCAAAAAUUAAACUCAACUCUACACCAAACAAACCUAAUAAACAUCUACAAAACUCUCCACCCCAAAUCAACAAAAUAUACAUUUUUUUCAACACCACACCACACCUAUUCCAAAAUUAACCACAUAAUUAAAAAUAAAACACUCCUCAACAAAUAUAAAAAAACAAAAAUUAUAACAAACUAUCUCUCAAACCACAAUACAAUCAAACUAAAACUCAAAAUUAAAAAACUCACUCAAAACCACUCAACUACAUAAAAACUAAACAACCUACUCCUAAAUAACUACUAAAUACAUAACAAAAUAAAAACAAAAAUAAAAAUAUUCUUUAAAACCAACGAAAACAAAAACACAACAUACCAAAAUCUCUAAAACACAUUCAAAACAAUAUAUAAAAAAAAAUUUAUAACACUAAAUACCCACAAAAAAAAACAAAAAAAAUCUAAAAUUAACACCCUAACAUCACAAUUAAAAAAACUAAAAAAACAAAAACAAACACAUUCAAAAACUAACAAAAAACAAAAAAUAACUAAAAUCAAAACAAAACUAAAAAAAAUAAAAACACAAAAAACCCUUCAAAAAAUCAAU